rnacentral:tRNA from 1 species
GUGAUUUUAGUUUAAGUUGAAAAUUUCUGCCUUGCACGUAGAGGAUCCAGAGAUUCUGGGAAUCACA